GAUGAACGCUAGCGGCAGGCCUAACACAUGCAAGUCGAGGGGUAACAGGGAGAAGCUUGCUUUUCUGCUGACGACCGGCGCACGGGUGCGUAACGCGUAUACAAUCUACCUUUUACUGAGGGGUAGCCCAGAGAAAUUUGGAUUAAUACCUCAUGGAAUGUUAUUAUGGCAUCAUAAAGACAUUAAAGGUUACGGUAAGAGAUGAGUAUGCGUCCUAUUAGCUAGAUGGUGUGGUAACGGCACACCAUGGCAACGAUAGGUAGGGGCCCUGAGAGGGGGAUCCCCCACACUGGUACUGAGACACGGACCAG
rnacentral:rRNA from 1 species